CAAAGCCGCAGAUCGCUCCACCGCCGUUCGCAGCCCCCUGCUGAGGGGCCAGCGGCUCUCCCUGGGACCCCAGAACCUUAACACAAUUAUGAGGUGGAAGAAAUGGGGAACACCAGGCCUGGCCUCAUGGAGACUGGGGAGUCAGAACCUGAGCUCUGGCUCCUGGAGCUGCUGUGAGUGAGCGGUGGAAACCUGUCCCUUAGAGAAGCUGCAGCUGAUCAGCAUCAUGCAAGGGACUCCUGAGAUGGUAGCAUGCUGGUAAUGAAGUGUUAUGGAGCCACUCCAUCCUUUAUUCAUCCUUUUCCUCAUACACACAGAGAACAAAGCAUAGGAACCAGCUACAGAAUUUGCAAGUGGAGAAUCCAGGUACCUUUAAAAGUCUAUUCAGUGAAAAUCUCUGGCUAUUGAUGUGAUGGUUAAUUUUAUGUGCCAACUUGGCUAGGCCAUGGUACCCAGUUUUUCAUAAAAGAUCAGUCUAGAUGUUGUGAAGGUAUAUUUUUAAAUGUGAUUAACAUUUUAUUCAGUGGACUUCAAGUAAAGCAGAUUAUCC
rnacentral:antisense_RNA from 1 species